rnacentral:rRNA from 1 species
AGAGUUUGAUCCUGGCUCAGGAUGAACGCUGGCGGCGUGCUUAACACAUGCAAGUCGAACGAAGCGGUUACAGGGAUUCCCUUCGGGGAGGAACGGUAAUUGUCUGAGUGGCGGACGGGUGAGUAACGCGUGGGCAACCUGCCCCAUACCGGGGGAUAACAGCCGGAAACGGCUGCUAAUACCGCAUACGCCCAGGAGGCUGCAUAGCUUCCUGGGGAAAACUCCGGUGGUAUGGGAUGGGCCCGCGUCUGAUUAGCUCGUUGGCGGGGUAACGGCCCACCAAGGCGACGAUCAGUAGCCGGCCUGAGAGGGCGGCCGGCCACAUUGGGACUGAGACACGGCCCAGACUCCUGCGGGAGGCAGCAGUGGGGAAUAUUGCACAAUGGGGGAAACCCUGAUGCAGCGACGCCGCGUGAGCGAUGAAGUAUCUCGGUAUGUAAAGCUCUAUCAGCAGGGAAGAAAGUGACAGUACCUGACUAAGAAGCCCCGGCUAACUACGUGCCAGCAGCCGCGGUAAUACGUAGGGGGCAAGCGUUAUCCGGAUUCACUGGGCGUAAAGGGAGCGCAGGCGGCACGGCAAGUCUGGUGUGAAAACCCGGGGCUCAACCCCGGGACUGCAUUGGAAACUGCCGGGCUGGAAUGUCGGAGGGGUAAGCGGAAUUCCUAGUGUAGCGGUGAAAUGCGUAGAUAUUAGGAGGAACACCAGUGGCGAAGGCGGCUUACUGGACGAUGACUGACGCUGAGGCUCGAAAGCGUGGGGAGCAAACAGGAUUAGAUACCCUGGUAGUCCACGCCGUAAACGA